rnacentral:rRNA from 1 species
AAUAGAUACCCCGGUAGUCCACGCCGUAAACGAUGGAUACUAGCUGUUUGGUAGUAAUACUGAGUGGCUAAGCGAAAGUGAUAAGUAUCCCACCUGGGGAGUACGGGCGCAAGCCUGAAACUCAAAGGAAUUGACGGGGGCCCGCACAAGCGGUGGAGCAUGUGGUUUAAUUCGAUGAUACGCGAGGAACCUUACCAGGGCUUAAAUGUAGUUUGACGUUAUUGGAAACAGUAAUUUCUUCGGACAAAUUACAAGGUGCUGCAUGGUUGUCGUCAGCUCGUGCCGUGAGGUGUCAGGUUAAGUCCUAUAACGAGCGCAACCCCUGUUGUUAGUUGCCAGCGAGUAAUGUCGGGAACUCUAGCAAGACUGCCAGUGUAAACUGCGAGGAAGGUGGGGAUGACGUCAAAUCAUCACGGCCCUUACGUCCUGGGCCACACACGUGCUACAAUGGCCGGUACAGAGAGCAGCCACUAUGCGAAUAGGAGCGAAUCUAUAAAGCCGGUCACAGUUCGGAUCGGAGUCUGCAACUCGACUCCG